UCACUUACAGGUAAUGAAGACACCAUGAUAACAAAAGUGAUUUUUCCAGGGUGAGGCUUAUUCAUUGUACUAGGGAUGUGCUGACUCCUGCAAUUUCCCCAAAUAUGGAAAACUCUACAUAAUUUGUGAUAGUGUUCAUGAGCUACUCUAUUAAAA